rnacentral:rRNA from 1 species
UACAGAGACUGCAAGCGUUAUUCGGAUUCACUGGGCGUAAAGCGUGCGCAGGCGGUUUGCUAAGACAGGUGUGAAAUCCCCGGGCUUAACCUGGGAACUGCGCUUGUAACUGGCAAGCUGGAGUGUGGCAGAGGGGGGUGGAAUUCCACGUGUAGCAGUGAAAUGCGUAGAGAUGUGGAGGAACACCGAUGGCGAAGGCAGCCCCCUGGGCUAACACUGACGCUCAUGCACGAAAGCGUGGGGAGCAAACAGG